rnacentral:lncRNA from 1 species
AGGUAAGUAUCUCACCUUUUGCUGGUCCACAUUGUUCACCCCUUGGGAGAGAGUGCAACCAUCCUGAAGAGCACUGACCAUCGAUUUUCUGGAUCCCACUGCCAUAAUUAACAGUUAUCCCACCCCCUGAGCUUUUUGACAUGCAUUGGCAUGUUUCUGCGCACCAUCCGCACCCCAGCGUUGACAAGCAUCGGUCACAAGUGUUUGCUGCAAAACACAACAGAGACAAGCUAGAGUGAUGAGAAAUGAAAUGCCCAGAGAUUGUUAGGGUGGUGGCUUCAAAACCAGUGCACUAGGCUUCUGUGUGUGUGUGUGUGUGUGUGUGUGUGUGUGUGUGUGUGNGUGUGUGUGUGUGUGUGUGUGUGUGUGUGUGUGUGUGUGUGUGUGUGUGUGUGUGUGUGUGUGUGUGUGUGUGUGCGUGCGCGCGUGCGCACAUGUGUGCAUCAAAUCUUUUAUGGGUGUUGCCUUUAAGUAGGCCCUACAUACAAUAAAAUGUCUGAAGUCCAUCCCUUGUUGAAAACAAAAAUGACUUGCAUAGCCUACACCUACAUACCUUCACAUUUUUAAGAUACUCUUGAUAUACAGACGCUGUGCCAGCUAGAGAGAGCGAUCAGCUAAUGCAUGCAGAUUGCUUGACAUCUUACCUCUGCGGCAUCCAUCCGGGCAAUCC